GACGAACGCUGGCGGCGUGCCUAAUACAUGCAAGUCGAGCGGACAGAUAAGGAGCUUGCUCCUUUGAAGUCAGCGGCGGACGGGUGAGUAACACGUGGGCAACCUGCCUAUAAGACUGGGAUAACUCCGGGAAACCGGGGCUAAUACCGGAUAGAUUCUUUCCUCUCAUGAGGAAAGAAGGAAAGAUGGUUUCGGCUAUCACUUAUAGAUGGGCCCGCGGCGCAUUAGCUAGUUGGUAAGGUGACGGCUUACCAAGGCGACGAUGCGUAGCCGACCUGAGAGGGUGAUCGGCCACACUGGGACUGAGACACGGCCCAGACUCCGACGAGAGGCAGCAGUAGGGAAUCUUCCGCAAUGGACGAAAGUCGGACGGAGCAACGCCGCGUGAACGAAGAAGGCCUUCGGGUCGUAAAGUUCUGUUGUUAGGGAAGAACAAGUACGAUAGUAACUGAUCGUACCUUGACGGUACCUAACCAGAAAGCCACGGCUAACUACGUGCCAGCAGCCGCAGUAAGAC
rnacentral:rRNA from 1 species